CCUACGGGAGGCAGCAGUGGGGAAUAUUGGGCAAUGGGCGCAAGCCUGACCCAGCAACGCCGCGUGAAGGAAGAAGGCUCUCGGGUUGUAAACUUCUUUUAUCAGGGACGAAGCAAGUGACGGUACCUGAUGAAUAAGCCACGGCUAACUUCGUGCCAGCCGCCGCGGUAAUACGGAGGUGGCAAGCGUUAUCCGGAUUUACUGGGUGUAAAGGGCGUGGAGGCGGGAAAGCAAGUCAGAUGUGAAAACCAUGGGCUCAACCUGUGGCCUGCAUUUGAAACUGUUUUUCUUGAGUACUGGAGAGGCAGACGGAAUGCCUGGUGUAGCGGUGAAAUGCGUAGAUAUUAGGAAGAACACCAGUGGCGAAGGCGGCCUGCUGGACUGCAACUGACGUUGAGGCCCGAAAGCGUGGGGAGCAAACAGGAUUAGAUACCCCGGUAGUC
rnacentral:rRNA from 1 species